rfam:Heterocephalus glaber contig153441, whole genome shotgun sequence.
GGAUGUGAGGGCGGUCUGGCUGGGACAUCGGUCACCCCAUUGAUCGCCAGAGUUGAUUCGGCUGAUCUGGCUGGCUAGGCAGGUGUCCCUUUCCUCCCUCACCGCUCUCAAAGCUGAGUGCCUCCCAAAGCUGUGUGCUUGGUCAACAGGACGACCACCCCUGAUACAGGAGGACCAUUUCCUUGGUCAAGGGUAUACUAGUAGCUGUGCUCCCCUGCUAGAAUCUCAAAACAAGCUCUCAAAAAUGGUGGUGGGAUUGGGAUUGUUUUACCUCUCCCCCGUGGAAUUCUCUGAUCCAUAUAGAUUUCUUUACAC